GGUUUGAUUAUGGCUCAGAUUGAACGCUGGCGGGAUGCUUUACACAUGCAAGUCGAACGGCAGCACGGACUUCGUCUGGUGGCGAGGGCGAACGGGUGAGUGUACGUAUCGAAUGUGCCUAGUAGCGGGGGAUAACUACGCGAAAGGUAGCUAAUGUUAACGCAUACGUUCUUCGGGGGAAAGCGGGGACCUUCGGGCCUCGCACUCAUUUAGAGCGGCCGAUAUCGGAUUAGCUUAGUUGGUGGGGUAACGGCUCACCAAGGCGACGAUCCGUAGCUGGUUUGAGAGGAUGACCAGCCACACUGGGACUGAGACACGGCCCAGACUCCUACGGGAGGCAGUGGGGGAAUUUUACAUGCACUGGGGAAACCCCUGAUCCAGCCAUCCGCGUGGCAAGGCCUCGGGCAUCGGCAGCAUCUUUGGCAGGAAAGAAACGGCACGGAUAAUACCCGCAAAUUGACGGUACCUGCAGAAUAAGCACCGGCUACGUGCCAGCAGCCGCGGUAAUACGUAGGGUGCAAGCGUUAAUCGGAAUUACUGGGCGUAAAGCGUGCGCAGGCGGUUCGGAAAGAAAGAUGUGAAAUCCUGAGUUUAAUUUGGAACUGCAUUUUUAACUACCGAGCUUUCAGAGUGUGUCAGGAGGGAGGUGAAUUCCGCGCAGUGAACGUGUAGAUAUGCGGAGGAACAAUUGAUGGCGAAGGCAGCCUGGGAUAACACUGACGUCACGCACAAGAGGCGUGGGGAGCAAACAGGAUUAGAUACCCUGGUAGUCCACGCCCUAAACGAUGUCAACUUAGCUGUUGGGGCUCUCUGGCCUUGGUAGCGCAGCUAACGCGUGAAGUUGACUCCCGCUCUGGGGGAGUACGGUCGCAAGAUUAAAACUCAAAGGAAUUAUUAGACCCGCACAAGCGGUGGAUGAUGUGGAUUAAUUCGAUACAACGCGAAAACCUUACCUACCCUUGACAUGUCUGGAAUCCUGAAGAGAUUUGGGAGUGCUCGCAAGAGAACCGAACACAGGUGCUGCAUGGCUGUCGUCAGCUCGUGUCGUGGAGAUGCUGGGUUAAGUCCUGCAACGAGCGCAACCUUGUCAUUAGUUGCUACGAAAGGGCACUCUAAUGAGACUGCCGGUGACAAACCGGAGGAAGGUGGGGAUGACGUCAAGUCCUCAUGGCCCUUAUGGGUAGGCUUCACACGUCAUACAAUGGCCGGGACAGAGGGUCGCCAACCCGCGAGGGGAGCCACAAUCCUGAACCGUGAUCAACUGGAUCGCAGUCUGCAACUCGACUGCGUGAAGUCGGAAUCGCCAGUAAUCGCGGAUCAGCAUGUCGCGGUGAAUACGUUCCCGGGUCUUGUACACACCGCCCGUCACACCAUGGGAGUGGGUUUUACCAGAAGUAGUUAUCAACCGCGAGGGCGAUUACCACGGUAGGAUUCAUGACUGGGGUGAAGUCGUAACAAGGUAACUCUGUGCCAUACCUGAUGCU
rnacentral:rRNA from 1 species